UACGUAGGGUGCUAGCGUUGUCCGGAAUUAUUGGGCGUAAAGAGCUCGUAGGCGGCCUGUUGCGUCCGCUGUGAAAGCCCGGGGCUUAACCCCGGGUCUGCAGUGGAUACGGGCAGGCUAGAGGUAGGUAGGGGAGAAUGGAAUUCCCGGUGUAGCGGUGAAAUGCGCAGAUAUCAGGAGGAACACCGGUGGCGAAGGCGGGUCUCUGGGCCAAAACUGACGCUGAGGAGCGAAAGCGUGGGGAGCGAACAGG
rnacentral:rRNA from 1 species